UACAGAGGAGCCAAGCGUUGUCCGGAUUGACUGGGCGUAAAGCGCACGCAGGCGGUCGCGCGCGUGGGGUGUGAAAUCUGGCCGCUUAACGGCCAGGCGCCAUCCCAUACGGCGCGACUGGAGUGAUGCAGAGGUCGAUGGAAUUGCCGGUGUAGCGGUGGAAUGCGCAGAUAUCAGGAGGAACACCGGUGGCGAAGGCGGGUCUCUGGGCCGAUACUGA
rnacentral:rRNA from 1 species